CUAUGUGUUGUUGGGUAGGGGAGCGUUCUGUAAGCCUGUGAAGGUGGCCUGUGAGGGUUGCUGGAGGUAUCAGAAGUGCGAAUGCUGACAUAAGUAACGAUAAAGCGGGUGAAAAGCCCGCUCGCCGGAAGACCAAGGGUUCCUGUCCAACGUUAAUCGGGGCAGGGUGAGUCGACCCCUAAGGCGAGGCCGAAAGGCGUAGUCGAUGGGAAACAGGUUAAUAUUCCUGUACUUGGUGUUACUGCGAAGGGGGGACGGAGAAGGCUAUGUUGGCCGGGCGACGGUUGUCCCGGUUUAAGCGUGUAGGCUGGUUUUCCAGGCAAAUCCGGAAAACCAAGGCUGAGGCGUGAUGACGAGGCACUACGGUGCUGAAGCGACAAAUGCCCUGCUUCCAGGAAAAGCCUCUAAGCAUCAGGUAACAUCAAAUCGUACCCCAAACCGACACAGGUGGUCAGGUAGAGAAUACCAAGGCGCUUGAGAGAACUCGGGUGAAGGAACUAGGCAAAAUGGUGCCGUAACUUCGGGAGAAGGCACGCUGAUAUGUAGGUGAAGCGACUUGCUCGUGGAGCUGAAAUCAGUCGAAGAUACCAGCUGGCUGCAACUGUUUAUUAAAAACACAGCACUGUGCAAACACGAAAGUGGACGUAUACGGUGUGACGCCUGCCCGGUGCCGGAAGGUUAAUUGAUGGGGUUAGCGGCAACGCGAAGCUCUUGAUCGAAGCCCCGGUAAACGGCGGCCGUAACUAUAACGGUCCUAAGGUAGCGAAAUUCCUUGUCGGGUAAGUUCCGACCUGCACGAAUGGCGUAAUGAUGGCCAGGCUGUCUCCACCCGAGACUCAGUGAAAUUGAACUCGCUGUGAAGAUGCAGUGUACCCGCGGCAAGACGGAAAGACCCCGUGAACCUUUACUAUAGCUUGACACUGAACAUUGAGCCUUGAUGUGUAGGAUAGGUGGGAGGCUUUGAAGUGUGGACGCCAGUCUGCAUGGAGCCGACCUUGAAAUACCACCCUUUAAUGUUUGAUGUUCUAACGUUGGCCCGUAAUCCGGGUUGCGGACAGUGUCUGGUGGGUAGUUUGACUGGGGCGGUCUCCUCCUAAAGAGUAACGGAGGAGCACGAAGGUUGGCUAAUCCUGGUCGGACAUCAGGAGGUUAGUGCAAUGGCAUAAGCCAGCUUGACUGCGAGCGUGACGGCGCGAGCAGGUGCGAAAGCAGGUCAUAGUGAUCCGGUGGUUCUGAAUGGAAGGGCCAUCGCUCAACGGAUAAAAGGUACUCCGGGGAUAACAGGCUGAUACCGCCCAAGAGUUCAUAUCGACGGCGGUGUUUGGCACCUCGAUGUCGGCUCAUCACAUCCUGGGGCUGAAGUAGGUCCCAAGGGUAUGGCUGUUCGCCAUUUAAAGUGGUACGCGAGCUGGGUUUAGAACGUCGUGAGACAGUUCGGUCCCUAUCUGCCGUGGGCGCUGGAGAACUGAGGGGGGCUGCUCCUAGUACGAGAGGACCGGAGUGGACGCAUCACUGGUGUUCGGGUUGUCAUGCCAAUGGCACUGCCCGGUAGCUAAAUGCGGAAGAGAUAAGUGCUGAAAGCAUCUAAGCACGAAACUUGCCCCGAGAUGAGUUCUCCCUGACUCCUUGAGAGUCCUGAAGGAACGUUGAAGACGACGACGUUGAUAGGCCGGGUGUGUAAGCGCAGCGAUGCGUUGAGCUAACCGGUACUAAUGAACCGUGAGGCUUAACCUU
rnacentral:rRNA from 1 species